rnacentral:rRNA from 1 species
UACUAGAGUAGCACUCGCAUAUCAAUAAGCGGAGGAAAAGAAACUAACAGGGAUUCCCUUAGUAACGGCGAGUGAAGCGGGAAGAGCUCAAAUUUGAAAUCUUCAAGGUUCUACCUUGACGAAUUGUAGUUUAUAGAAGUGUUUUCUGUUAGUAGAGUGGCAAAAGUUCUUUGGAAUAGGACAUCAUAGAGGGUGAGAAUCCCGUAUUUGGUCAUUCUUUCUAGCUUUGUGAUACACUUUCAACGAGUCGGAUUGUUUGGGAAUGCAGUCCAAAAUGGGUGGUAAAUUUCAUCUAAAGCUAAAUAUUGGCGAGAGACCGAUAGCGAACAAGUACCGUGAGGGAAAGAUGAAAAGAACUUUGAAAAGAGAGCUAAACAGUACGUGAAAUUGUCAAAAGGGAAGCGUUUGACACCAGUGUUGUUUAGUGAGAAAUCAAUUGUGUGGAACGGGUUGUUGUGGGGUUGAGACCUUAUCAGCUCUCCUUACUCUUUACCUUUUUCACGCAAUGCACUUUCUCUUUAACAAGUCAACAUCAAUUUCUUUUGUUGUAAAAGGGUCAGCGGAAGGUGGCUUUCUUUUCGGAGAAAGUGUUUAUAGCCGUUGAUCUCUACAAUCGGAGAGAUUGAGGUCUGCAGCGUAGAUCCUUCGGGGUUAGAUACGUCGGUGCUAAGUUAUAAUCCUACAUAGACAACUUGUUGACUAUGUUCGAUCAUGUAGCUUACUCGCUAGCGCUAUUUUACCUACGCUUAGGAUGUUGAAGAUGUAGCACAUCAU